rnacentral:lncRNA from 1 species
AAGCUUGAAGAAGGGACUGAGAGAAAGUAAAAGAAGGAAUGUCAAGCUUGAAGAUAGUCACGAUUUGGAAAGAAAGUGUUGGUGUUGUGCAGAAGGGCUACGCCGAGGGACAACAGAUGGUCAUACGGGGAGAAGAAAGGUGGAGGACCAAGGGUUACCACUGACAAGCGAAAGGAGAUCCAUGAGAGAAAGGACAUGGCGCUGAUAUUUGGAACCCAUAUGUCGGCUGCAUGCUGUCACAUGCUAUGUUGGUGAAUCGC